rnacentral:rRNA from 1 species
UACGGAAGGCAGCAGUGGGGAAUAUUGCACAAUGGGCGCAAGCCUGAUGCAGCCAUGCCGCGUGUAUGAAGAGGGCCUUCGGGUUGUAAAGUACUUUCAGUCGUGAGGAAGGUGUUAAGGUUAAUAACCUUAGCAAUUGACGUUAGCGACAGAAGAAGCACCGGCUAACUCCGUGCCAGCAGCCGCGGUAAUACGGAGGGUGCGAGCGUUAAUCGGAAUUACUGGGCGUAAAGGGCACGCAGGCGGUUAAUUAAGUUGGAUGUGAAAUCCCCGGGCUUAACCUGGGAAUGGCAUUCAAGACUGGUUAGCUAGAGUCUUGUAGAGGGGGUAGAAUUCCAUGUGUAGCGGUGAAAUGCGUAGAGAUGUGGAGGAAUACCGGUGGCGAAGGCGGCCCCUGGACAAAGGCUGACGCUCAUGUGCGAAAGCGUGGGGAGCAAACAGGGAUUAGAUACC